AACGAACGCUGGCGGCAGGCCUAACACAUGCAAGUCGAACGAACCUUCGGGUUAGUGGCGCACGGGUGAGUAACGCGUGGGAAUUUGCCUCCAGGUACGGAACAACAGCUGGAAACGGCUGCUAAUACCGUAUGAUGUCUACGGACCAAAGAUUUAUCGCCUGAAGAUGAGCCCGCGUUAGAUUAGGUAGUUGGUGGGGUAACGGCCUACCAAGCCGACGAUCUAUAGCUGGUCUGAGAGGAUGAUCAGCCACACUGGGACUGAGACACGGCCCAGACUCCUACGGGAGGCAGCAGUGGGGAAUAUUGGACAAUGGGGGCAACCCUGAUCCAGCCAUGCCGCGUGAGUGACGAAGGCCUUAGGGUUGUAAAACUCUUUCAGUGGUGACGAUAAUGACGGUAGCCACAGAAGAAGCCCCGGCUAACUCCGUGCCAGCAGCCGCGGUAAUACGGAGGGGGCUAGCGUUGUUCGGAAUUACUGGGCGUAAAGCGCGCGUAGGCGGAUGAUCAAGUUGGGGGUGAAAGCCCGGGGCUUAACCUCGGAACUGCCCUCAAAACUGGCCAUCUAGAAUCCGGGAGAGGUGAGCGGAAUUCCUAGUGUAGAGGUGAAAUUCGUAGAUAUUAGGAAGAACACCAGUGGCGAAGGCGGCUCACUGGACCGGUAUUGACGCUGAGGUGCGAAAGCGUGGGGAGCGAACAGGAUUAGAUACCCUGGUAGUCCACGCCGUAGACGAUGGAUGCUAGAUGUUGGGAAGCUUGCUUUUCAGUGUCGCAGCUAACGCGUUAAGCAUCCCGCCUGGGGAGUACGGUCGCAA
rnacentral:rRNA from 1 species